rnacentral:rRNA from 1 species
AUACGUAUGUCGCAAGCGUUAUCCGGAUUUAUUGGGCGUAAAGCGCGUCUAGGCGGCUUAGUAAGUCUGAUGUGAAAAUGCGGGGCUCAACCCCGUAUUGCGUUGGAAACUGCUAAACUAGAGUACUGGAGAGGUCGGCGGAACUACAAGUGUAGGGGUGAAAUUCGUAGAUAUUUGUAGGAAUGCCGAUGGGGAAGCCAGCCUACUGGACAGAUACUGACGCUAAAGCGCGAAAGCGUGGGUAGCAAACAGGAUUAGAUACCCUGGUAGUCCACGCCGUAAACGAUGAUUACUAGGUGUUGGGGGUCGAACCUCAGCGCCCAAGCUAACGCGAUAAGUAAUCCGCCUGGGGAGUACGUACGCAAGUAUGAAACUUAAAGGAAUUGACGGGG